AUCUGUAUCGUCAUCCACUGAUUCAGUACCUGACGGCAGCCAUGACACUUGUCCUCAGCAUCCUUGUGUGCGCCUCGCUUCUGCCAGCUUUGACUGCGGCAGGAACCGUUUACACACGUUGGGGAAACAGUGUGUGUGCUUCAG
rnacentral:misc_RNA from 1 species